ACGGAGGAUCCAAGCGUUAUCCGGAUUUAUUGGGUUUAAAGGGAGCGUAGGCGGCCUAUUAAGUCAGGGGUGAAAGACGAUGGCUCAACCAUCGCAGUGCCUUUGAUACUGAUGGGCUUGAAUAUAGUUGAGGUAGGCGGAAUGUGACAAGUAGCGGUGAAAUGCAUAGAUAUGUCACAGAACACCGAUUGCGAAGGCAGCUUACUAAGCUAUUAUUGACGCUGAGGCUCGAAAGCGUGGGGAUCAAACAGG
rnacentral:rRNA from 1 species